rnacentral:rRNA from 1 species
UCGCGGCCUAUCAGCUUGUUGGUGAGGUGAUGGCUCACCAAGGCGACGACGGGUAGCCGACCUGAGAGGGUGACCGGCCACACUGGAACUGAGACACGGUCCAGACUCCUACGGGAGGCAGCAGUGGGGAAUAUUGCACAAUGGGCGCAAGCCUGAUGCAGCAACGCCGCGUGAGGGAUGAAGGCCUUCGGGUUGUAAACCUCUUUUAGCAGGGAAGAAGCGAAAGUGACGGUACCUGCAGAAAAAGCACCGGCUAACUACGUGCCAGCAGCCGCGGUAAUACGUAGGGUGCAAGCGUUGUCCGGAAUUAUUGGGCGUAAAGAGCUCGUAGGCGGUUUGUCGCGUCUGCUGUGAAAACUGGAGGCUCAACUUCCGACCUGCAGUGGGUACGGGCAAACUAGAGUGCGGUAGGGGAGAACGGAAUUCCUGGUGUAGCGGUGGAAUGCGCAGAUAUCAGGAGGAACACCGAUGGCGAAGGCAGAUCUCUGGGCCGUUACUGACGCUGAGGAGCGAAAGCGUGGGGAGCGAACAGGAUUAGAUACCCUGGUAGUCCACGCCGUAAACGGUGGGAGCUAGAUGUGGGGCCCGUUCCACGGGUUCCGUGACGAAGCUAACACAUUAAGCUCCCCGCCUGGGGAGUACGG